AGAACAUAUAACUUACAAGGUUCCGUCAUGUACAAGCGAUGGACUGAAGAUAAGAAAUUCAUGGCAAAGACACGUUAAGGCUUCCUACACUCUGGGAGAUGUUUGAGGAAUCUUCAAAAGAAGAUUAUAAAGUUCAAAAUUCAUCCAUCUCGCAGUAGCAAAUAAAAUAUUGUUUUGAAUCAGUGGAGAAUUUCAGUCUGUCUCCAGUUCAAGAAGGAUGAGGAAAGUUUUUGGAAAAUAAACUUUUCUUUCUUUAUUAUUUAUUUGACUAUUGUUGGUCUACACCAAACUGUUAAUGUCCCUAAUAAAGUUGUUUUUGGUGGAGUA